rnacentral:lncRNA from 1 species
GGAUCAUCUGCUGUGGGUGUUCCUGAUCUUUGAGCCAUGAUAAUGUUACUGGUUGGAUGUCAGGAGCAGGCCAUGUGGAUGAUUAAAAGAUGAAUAUCAUAUACAGCAUGGAUAUGUUGGACAAAAAGAUGAUUCACAUCCCAGACAGAAUGGAGCAGAUGCAGCUGGAGAGCCUGGGGUGAGAACAUGAGCAGUCUAUAAUCAGAAAAUCCCUUUGGGAUAAAUUGACAAAAAUAUAAACCACUCCACAAAGGAGAAAUUGUAAAUGUUGUUCUUCCAGAUGGCAUGAAUCCAACAGUGAAGAAAUCAGAAUACGUUGCUUUUGUGAGGGGCAGCUGCUGAUUUUCUCUGAGCUCCGUUUCCAGCCUUCACAUGCUCUGCUAUUCAUCACAGGGUAAAUUCUGACUAUAGGAGGUACUGACAGAAGAUUAGGGAAGAACAGAGGGCUAAAUGUUUAUUGACUUCUUGAAAAAUGCUAUGUGUCUUGCCAGACUUAGCUUACAAGUUUGGUUAAAGAGAGACUGACAUGAGCAUAAAGGAAGGGACAUUGAAAGAGGCAGAGAUGAAGGAAGAAAUUGUAACUUACUCCUUUUAUCCCACCCAUCAAAGGAAAGACAAGUUGACAUUCCCAGGGUGGAUGGAUCCAGGCAGGACAGGAUCAGAAGUUGCAGUCUUAAUUGCACCAACUCACGCAUGUCACCAGCCGAGUAGUAUUGAUUCUGCAACAAACUGAGAAGAAACCUGGCGAUUCACAACAGAGAGCUGAGAAAUCCUAAGUCUGGAUUCCAGCUAAAUGGGAGCAGACUAAAUAGAGCGGCAGUCGGCGAACUACAUGUAGCCCAUGAACAAAAUCCGGUCCAGCACGUGUGUUUUUUUUUACGGCCCACAAAUGAGUCUGUCUUUACAGAUGAAUGUUAAAACUGGGUUGACAAGAGAGAACACUCACUUUGAACCGCAACUAAACAAAAUAUUAUCACCUUUCCCCUCAAAAAAGGUUUUUGUUCUUCUCAUUAGUAAAUUUGUAUUAUGACAAAA